rnacentral:rRNA from 1 species
UGGGGAAUUUUGGACAAUGGGCGAAAGCCUGAUCCGGCCAUGCCGCGUGAGUGAAGAAGGCCUUCGGGUUGUAAAGCUCUUUUAGUCGGAAAGAAAGAGUUGCAAUGAAUAAUUGUGAUUUAUGACGGUACCGACAGAAUAAGCACCGGCUAACUCCGUGCCAGCAGCCGCGGUAAUACGGAGGGUGCGAGCGUUAUCCGGAUUUAUUGGGUUUAAAGGGUGCGUAGGUGGGCUUAUAAGUCAGUGGUGAAAUCUCCGAGCUUAACUUGGAAACUGCCGUUGAUACUAUAGGUCUUGAAUUAUCUGGAGGUAAGCGGAAUAUGUCAUGUAGCGGUGAAAUGCUUAGAUAUGACAUAGAACACCGAUUGCGAAGGCAGCUUACUACAUAUAAAUUGACGCUGAGGCACGAAAGCGUGAGGAUCAAACA